rnacentral:rRNA from 1 species
GACAGAGGUGGCAAGCGUUGUUCGGAUUUACUGGGCAUAAAGGGCGCGUAGGUGGUCAGGAAGGUCAGUGGUGAAAUCCCCCGACCCAAUCGAGGAAUUGCCUCUGAAACCUCCUGACUAGAGUGCAAAAGGGGAGAGUGGAACUCGAGGUGGAGCGGUGAUAUGCGUAGAUAUCUCGGGGAACGCCGGUGGCGAAAGCGACUCUCUGGUUUGUGACUGACACUGAUGCGCGAAAGCCAGGGGAGCAAACGGGAUUAGAUACCCCAGUA